GUGGUUGUAGCUUAGUGGUAGAGUGCUUGCCUACCACAUGAGAGGCACUGGGUUCAAUUCUUAGUAAAUAUA
rnacentral:tRNA from 1 species